AUUGAACGCUGGCGGCAGGCUUAACACAUGCAAGUCGAGCGGGGUGAUGGUGCUUGCACUAUCACUUAGCGGCGGACGGGUGAGUAAUGCUUAGGAAUCUGCCUAUUAGUGGGGGACAACAUCUCGAAAGGGAUGCUAAUACCGCAUACGUCCUACGGGAGAAAGCAGGGGAUCACUUGUGACCUUGCGCUAAUAGAUGAGCCUAAGUCGGAGUAGCUAGUUGGUGGGGGAAAGGCCUACCAAUGGGACGAUCUGUAGCGGUGUCUGAGAGGAUGAUCCGCCACACUGGGACUGAGAAACGGCCCAGACUCCUACGGGAGGCAGCAGUGGGGAAUAUUGGACAAUGGGGGGAACCCUGAUCCAGCCAUGCCGCGUGUGUGAAGAAGGCCUUAUGGUUGUAGAGCACUUUAAGCGAGGAGGAGGCUCUUUUGGUUAAUACCCAAGAUGAGUGGACGUUACUCGCAGAAUAAGCACCGGCUAACUCUGUGCCAGCAGCCGCGGUAA
rnacentral:rRNA from 1 species